rnacentral:rRNA from 1 species
GACGAACGCUGGCGGCGUGCUUAACACAUGCAAGUCGAACGGAAAGGCCUGCUUUCCCUUGUGGAUUGCGGGUACUCGAGUGGCGAACGGGUGAGUAACACGUGAGUGAUCUGCCCUCAACUUGGGUAUAAGCCUGGGAAACUGGGUCUAAUUCCCGAUAGGACUGCAGGGUGGUGCCUGUGGUGGAAAACGAUUUUCUAGUGGUUGGGGAUGAGCUCGCGGCCUAUCAGCUUGUUGGUGGGGUAAUGGCCUACCAAGGCGGCGACGGGUAGCCGGCCCGAGAGGGUGGACGGCCACAUUGGGACUGAGAUACGGCCCAGACUCCUACGGGAGGCAGCAGUGGGGAAUAUUGCACAAUGGGCGGAAGCCUGAUGCAGCGACGCCGCGUGGGGGAUGACGGCCUUCGGGUUGUAAACUCCUUUCGACCGCGAGGAAGCCACCUGGUUGGAAGGGUGGUGACGGUAGUGGUAGAAGAAGCACCGGCUAACUACGUG